rnacentral:rRNA from 1 species
AACGUAGGAGCCAAGCGUUAUCCGAAUUCACUGGGCGUAAAGCGCGUGCAGGCGGCCUGUUAAGUUGGAUGUGAAAUCUCCUGGCUCAACUGGGAGAGGACGUUCAAUACUGGCGGGCUAGAGGGCAAUAGAGGGAGGUGGAAUUCCGGGUGUAGUGGUGAAAUGCGUAGAUAUCCGGAGGAACACCAGUGGCGAAAGCGGCCUCCUGGAUUGCACCUGACGCUCAGACGCGAAAGCUAGGGGAGCGAAC